GGGGACGUAGCUCAAGGGGAGAGCACCUCGUUCGCAACGAGGGGGUUGCCGGUUCAAGUCCGGUCGUCUCCA
rnacentral:tRNA from 1 species